rnacentral:rRNA from 1 species
GCUUACGGCCAUACCACCCUGAACACGCCCGAUCUCGUCCGAUCUCGGAAGCUAAGCAGGUCGGGCCUGGUUAUACUUGAUGGGAGAAUACCAGGUGCUGUAAGCU